rnacentral:rRNA from 1 species
UACGUAGGGGGCAAGCGUUGUCCGGAUUUAUUGGGCGUAAAGAGCGUGUAGGCGGCCAUACAGGUCCGUUGUGAAAACUGGAGGCUUAACCUCCAGACGUCGAUGGAAACCGUAUGGCUAGAGUCCGGAAGAGGAGAGUGGAAUUCCUGGUGUAGCGGUGAAAUGCGCAGAUAUCAGGAAGAACACCUAUGGCGAAAGCAGCUCUCUGGGACGGUACUGACGCUGAGAGACGAAAGCUAGGGGAGCGAAUGGG